GUGUGGGAUCGUCACAGACGUCACACUGGGCUCCCUCAGUAGCUUCAACUGCAACUGGCUCAGGGGCCGCUAUGUGAGCAUCCACCUUCCCCGCCAUGGUUAUAUGACGCUGUGUGAAGUGGAUGUCUAUGGAGCUGUAGCAGAAGAGAUGCGUUAGGGAUCACCAGCAGUCUCUGCGUUGGUGUGUUCAGGGUGUGUGGCUGUCAAAGACCAAGGAUGCGUCAACCAACGCCACAGUCCUCCUUUCAGCAAGCCCCCUUUCCUCUACUUCUCCAGCAGCUUCUCAGGGCCCUGAGAACCAACAAGGGCUGUGCUUUUGCUCCUGCCACAAAGCGUAGACCAAGCAUAGGCAAACCCAGCCCUCCAGAUGUUUUGGGACUUCAACUCCCACCAUCCCUGACCACUGGGGCUAUUAGCUAGGGAUGAUGGGAGUUGUAGUCCCAAAACAUCUGGAGGGCCGAGUUUGCCUAUGCCUGGCGUAGACCAAGACACUGCUGAAAACCCAUCACGGCAAGAAUGAAGUCUUUCCCCGCCAUAGUGUUGAGCCCCAUACUCUAAGGUUACCAGACGUCCCCGUUUCCCAGGGACAGUCCCCGAAUUUACAAAUCAGUCCCCUGACAAAAUCCAUCUAUUUAAUAGGAAGUUGUAAAGUGUCCCCGGAUUCAUUGAAAAACAUCUGGUAACCUUACCAUACUCUGCAGCCCUGCUGCCAGGUCCCCUAUGGCACAAUAUAAUUGGCACCAGGCACCAGGUUGGCAGAAGCUAACUAGAACUUAAAAACCUUGCACUGAAGGUGUGUAAAAAUUCAACUUUUGUGCCAUAUGAGCUGUAACCUGUUUCUGCUCCAGACAGUGUAGAUCCACCAUUCCCAAUGCAGAGCCCACAGAAGAUGAAGUACCUGCUGUGGUGCCCACUAAUACCUCCCUUGGUGCCCUCUGCCCACCUGAGAUUGAAUUUGUUGGCUUUUUACUGAGGGAUGGUGUCAAGCAUGUGUCAUGGUGUGUGUAUGCCAUUCUGAACUUUUCCCCAUGGUUCAGUACAGAAUUCUCAAGGUUCCAUGGUUUAUUUCUGUAGAUCGUGACAUGUGUAAAAGUUGGCAUGGCAUCAUAUAAAACACGCCCCUCAGUUAACUUUCUUGACCCUGGUGCAAGUCUUUGCCUUGAAUGUGCCCUGGAACUUGAGGUCCAGAUCAGUGCAGUAAUCAGGUGUUGGCCACGACAUUUGAUUCACAUCUCCUGUGAAAAGAAUGGGUUCCACACAGACAGUACUAAGAUAACCUUGGAAAGAGAACCAGUUUGGCCAUUUCUUACUGGGAUUAUAUCGGUUCAACUACCAAUGAACAAAAUGUGAAACAGACAGGAACUUAAUAGGAAACAAUAGAAUAAAUAGGUUAUAAUGUGUGCUGGGCCCGGGGUUAACCCGAGCAACGCGGUCCAGGUCCGGUCCCAAAUCCAAGGGAGGAGUCAGUCCGACAGGGCCAAGACAGGACACGAGGCAGGAAACCAGGCAAGGGCAGGCACAGGAUCUCAGGCAGGUUCCAGCAAGCAGCAAUGUUGCUCCCGCAACCUGGGGCGGGGUCCGACAGACUUUUAUCUCUGUCGGGGUAAUGGCCGGUCCUGAUCCCCCGGCGACUCACCUCCCUGUCUCACCUGAAGGCGAGCACUCCUCCUGCGAGUACUCAGGUCCCUCCUUCUCUCAGACCUCAGUCUCUGCAGCUCGGGAGACGUCGGUGGAUUACUAGACCCAGAGGCCGCCUCAGCCUCCCCUGACCCAACCGGUAGCGGAGCAGCUGUAAGUGAUGGCCCAGCUGAAGGCAAGGAGGUCAUCCCAGCAUCUGGAGCCAGGGCAGGCUCAGGCCCCUGACUCAGCCCAGCUGGUGCUUGUUCCAGGGGAACCUGUGCAGACUGGGACUCUUCAGGAUCAGGCCCCAGACUUGGUUCAGAUGCCACCUGAGGCAGAGGAUCCAGUGCGGACUGAGACUCCUCCGGUUCUGAGCCCAAGCCCGAGUCCCAGGCCAUCACAUAAUGAAUGACUUAUCCCAAAGACCCCCUGCCCUCUCCAUCAUCUAACGUUGGCUCAAAAGAAUAUUUACAUCCUAGGUUAACCAUGCCUGGUUAGCUCCCACAGGAUUAGAGACCUUCUUGUCACCAACCGACACACCACUUUGCUUCUUUAGGCUUUCCAUGGGGAUCCUUCUUCCUCUUAGACCAAGGAGCAUAGGCCCCCUAGGAAUAGCUGCCUGCUUCUCUUGCAACUUUGCUGCCUGAAGCAGCACUCGUUUGCUCUUGUCGCUUUCCUUUCAUGCAAUAAACCCGCCUUUGUCC